rnacentral:rRNA from 1 species
UUUGGUUUUGUAAUUGGAAUGAGUUAAGUAUAAACCCCUUUACAAGUAUCAAUUGGAGGGCAAGUCUGGUGCCAGCAGCCGCGGUAAUUCCAGCUCCAAUAGCGUAUAUUAAAGUUGUUGCAGUUAAAAAGCUCGUAGUUGGAUUUCUGUUAAUAAUUUAUAUAAAAUAUUUUGAUGAAUAUUUAUAUAAUAUUAACAUAAUUCAUAUUACUAUAUAUUUUAGUAUAUGAAAUUUUACUUUGAGAAAAUUAGAGUGCUUAAAGCAGGCAUAUGCCUUGAAUACUCCAGCAUGGAAUAAUAUUAAAGAUUUUUAUCUUUCUUAUUGGUUCUAAGAUAAGAAUAAUGAUUAAUAGGGACAGUUGGGGGCAUUUGUAUUUAACAGUCAGAGGUGAAAUUCUUAGAUUUGUUAAAGACAAACUAAUGCGAAAGCAUUUGCCAAGGAUGUUUUCAUUAAUCAAGAACGAAAGUUAGGGGAUCGAAGACGAUCAGAUACCGUCGUAGUCUUAACCAUAAACUAUGCCAACUAGAGAUUGGAGGUUGUUCUUUAAUUCCCUUGAAAAA